rnacentral:rRNA from 1 species
UAGAGUUUGAUCCUGGCUCAGGAUGAACGCUGGCGGUCUGCUUAACACAUGCAAGUCGAACGCAACCUUCGGGUUGAGUGGCGGACGGGUGAGUAACGCGUGAGAAUCUGCCUUGGGGUCGGGGACAACCACUGGAAACGGUGGCUAAUACCGGAUAAGCCUUUGGGUAAAAAAUUUAUUGCCCCAAGAGGAGCUCGCGUCUGAUUAGCUAGUUGGUGAGGUAAAAGCUCACCAAGGCAGCGAUCAGUAGCUGGUCUGAGAGGACGAUCAGCCACACUGGGACUGAGACACGGCCCAGACUCCUACGGGAGGCAGCAGUGGGGAGUUUUCCGCAAUGGGCGAAAGCCUGACGGAGCAAGACCGCGUGAGGGAGGAAGGCUCUUGGGUUGUAAACCUCUUUUCUCAGGGAAGAAGCUCUGACGGUACCUGAGGAAUCAGCCUCGGCUAACUCCGUGCCAGCAGCCGCGGUAAUACGGAGGAGGCAAGCGUUAUCCGGAAUUAUUGGGCGUAAAGCGUCCGCAGGUGGCGAUUCAAGUCUGCUGUCAAAGCACGGGGCUUAACUCCGUUAAGGCAGUGGAAACUGAAUAGCUAGAGUGCCGUAGGGGUAGAGGGAAUUCCCGGUGUAGCGGUGAAAUGCGUAGAGAUCGGGAAGAACAUCGGUGGCGAAAGCGCUCUACUGGACGGCAACUGACACUCAGGGACGAAAGCUAGGGGAGCGAAUGGGAUUAGAUACCCCAGUAGUCCUAGCUGUAAACGAUGGAUACUAGGUGUAGCUUGUAUCGACCCGAGCUGUGCCGAAGCUAACGCGUUAAGUAUCCCGCCUGGGGAGUACGCACGCAAGUGUGAAACUCAAAGGAAUUGACGGGGGCCCGCA